rnacentral:rRNA from 1 species
AGUCGAACGGCAGCGCGAGAGAGCUUGCUCUCUUGGCGGCGAGUGGCGGACGUGGUGAGUAAUAUAUCGGAACGUGCCCAGUAGCGGGGGAUAACUACUCGAAAGAGUGGCUAAUACCGCAUACGCCCUACGGGGGAAAGGGGGGGAUCGCAAGACCUCUCACUAUUGGAGCGGCCGAUAUCGGAUUAGCUAGUUGGUGGGGUAAAGGCUCACCAAGGCAACGAUCCGUAGCUGGUUUGAGAGGACGACCAGCCACACUGGGACUGAGACACGGCCCAGACUCCUACGGGAGGCAGCAGUGGGGAAUUUUGGACAAUGGGGGAAACCCUGAUCCAGCCAUCCCGCGUGUAUGAUGAAGGCCUUCGGGUUGUAAAGUACUUUUGGCAGAGAAGAAAAGGUAUCCCCUAAUACGGGAUACUGCUGACGGUAUCUGCAGAAUAAGCACCGGCUAACUACGUGCCAGCAGCCGCGGUAAUACGUAGGGUGCAAGCGUUAAUCGGAAUUACUGGGCGUAAAGCGUGUGUAGGCGGUUCGGAAAGAAAGAUGUGAAAUCCCAGGGCUCAACCUUGGAACUGCAUUUUUAACUGCCGAGCUAGAGUAUGUCAGAGGGGGGUAGAAUUCCACGUGUAGCAGGGAAAUGCGUAGAUAUGUGGAGGAAUACCGAUGGCGAAGGC